rnacentral:rRNA from 1 species
GACGAACGCUGGCGGCGUGCUUAACACAUGCAAGUCGAACGGGCCUUGUCCCCUUUUUUUUUGGGGGUGGGGUUAGUGGCGAACGGGUGAGUAACACGUGAGUAACCUGCCCCUCACUUCUGGAUAACCGCUUGAAAGGGUGGCUAAUACGGGGUGUUCUGGCCUGCUCGCAUGGGUGGGUUUGGAAAGAUUCGACCGGUUUUGGUUGUUUUGGUGGGGGAUGGGCUCGCGGCCUAUCAGCUUGUUGGUGGGGUGAUGGCCUGCCAAGGCUUUGACGGGUAGCCGGCCUGAGAGGGUGGGCGGUCACACUGGGACUGAGACACGGCCCAGACUCCUACGGGAGGCAGCAGUGGGGAAUAUUGCACAAUGGGCGCAAGCCGGAUGCAGCGACGCCGCGUGAGGGAUGGAGGCCUUCGGGUUGUGAACCUCUUUCGCCAGUGAAGAAGGUCCUGCUCUUUGUGGUGGGGUUGACGGUAGCUGGGUUAAUGAAGCGCCGGCUAACUACGUG